UGUCUGUGCAAUGAAGAGAGAAAGGGGAGAAUGUAACAUUGAAUGAAGACAGUCUGAACUUCUAGAGUAGGGUUGAUGAAUACAUGCAGGGGCAUGCAAGGGGAAGGUUAAUUACAUAAAUUCAAAGGGCUAAAUGUAAGUGAGAAAGUAUGAACUGAGGUCUUCUGUGAAGUAGAAAUUCAUAGAUAGGUGGUAGCCGCAGUUACAUUUCUUGUGAAUGGUAAUAAUGACAGAACCACAGAUGUGUUUGGAGAAAAUGUGUGCAGUGUUCUAAAUGACUACCCUCCAGGUUGGAAAACAUUAGUGAGAUGAAUAGAUGGGUGGGAAUCAGUAAUGUGGUUAUUUGGAGACUUUAAAAAGAUUGGGAACAAAUGAUUGUUUAGUGACUAUCUGUUUAUCCAAAAGUAUCUUUGUUUCAGAGAUGGUUUAGACAUAAAUUGGUGUGUAUGGCCACAUAGUGUCAGACACAACAAAUCAGGAAGCAAGGCUGUUCAAAUGAGUAUAAGUUUAUUCCAUGUUAGCUCUCUACAAAAAUCUGAUCCACUAAUGUUCAAUUCGAAUUGGCGGUAGACAAGGGUCAACGCAAUUCAAGCUGAUCUCUUGUGGGCGCAAAGGAACUUGAGACUGAUUGCGCUAAAUCAGAGUCUUAAACUUGCCAAGUUUGAAGAUCUUUGCGCUAAAUGAUUGAGAAAACUAGUGAAGGAUAUAAAGAUUAUGAGAGCUUCUGAAUGUGGGACAUAACCAUGUUUUAGUAGCAUCAAGAGGGGAUCUUAAGAGAAAAGAGAGCAUGGAAAGAAAGGAAAGAGGCCAAACAAACUAGAAUGAACAUUAAGAAGUGUGUGUGUGAGUGUGUCCUGUUUGAAAGGAUAUGAGAAGACAGGUUAGUUUUGGAUAGAAGUAAUGGAAGGUGGGUAUCGAAAUUACAGAGAUCAGAGCGAAGAAAAUUGUAUUACUGCGCCAGGGAGUUAUGUUGAAUUAUGCAAAUGCUAAUGGAAAAUAUGUGGAAUGAAGGGGAAGAGGCCA